rnacentral:misc_RNA from 1 species
AGGACGACUCUGAGGUUGGGCGGGCCGGCCAUAACAUGAGGAAAUUCUUUGAGGUGCGAUGGAAGCAGCUAUUGUUAACCUCACCAUCCUCGCCCUCGACCAACAGCAACGAGGAGAAAAUGGAGGAGGGCGGAGACUAAUGCUGCCACCUAGUGACCAAUCAUUUAUUUAUUCCAUUAAAAAUCUACGUUUCUUUUUCUUAUGCAAAUUCUAUUUAUGAUUUCAUUGCAGCUAUCAACAGAAAGUCUUAUAUAUAUUGAUGUUGGCAGUUUUUGAAUGAUUAUAUUUAUGAUGUUGUGAAUUCUUUUAUUAUUAAGGAAAUAAGUGUCUUAGACUAUGAUUAACCUCAGAGACUAUACUUGUAGAUGGAAAAUAUUAUGUUUCCUGGGCUCUAUUAUAUAUGGUUGGAAAAUGCUAUUUUACAGUGAACUUGUAGAUUUUGUACAUAAGAUGGCAUUGAUGUUUUAGUGUUCUCUCUGUCUGUAUCGGUCUUGAUACAUUUACGUGACAAUAUGUUGCCAUGAUACAUUCUGGCCUUUUAUCUCAUCAUUAUUAACUGCACAUUCAGCAAUGUUGGCAGCAGUUGUAAAGAGAACAUUUUGUUUACUUAUGAAAAAUUCUUUUACCACCAAAGGGCACAUCAAAGAUUACGAUUGCAUGAAGAAAUAUUUUUUUGUGGUUGUGAUAAGGAAACCAUUUAUUUUCUUGUUUCUUUCACUGACUAUCCACCAAGAAAUAAGUAAAUUAAUGCCAGUAUUCAUUCGACUUUACAAAAAUUGAUGUGUUUAAUUUUUACAUUUUUUGUAGCAAUAAUACAUGUACAUGUAGCAUUUUGUUCAUGAAUUUAAAUCAAAGAUUUAAACAUACAUUUAUUUCAGAAUUUUGUACUUGGAAUUUUAGUAGACUUUUUGAUUUUACACCCUCGCGGCUGCAGACAAUGAACUACAACACACAGAUGACUCUGUUUUCUAGUCCCUUCAUCGGUCAUCAUUAUUCACACAGUACAUUCCAGUGAAGAAGUUCACUCUCUUUUCUCAACAUAUCAUUCACCGUACAGCUCGGCUGGCAAUAACCCAUUCUCAUUUUUCACAGAUCUUGGACCUGUUCCUUAUUUUUAACCUCUUAUCUGCAGAAACUGUCUAGAGACAUAGUCCAAGAAACAAUUGUCUGCAUUUUUAUUCCGAUUUUUUUGUCAUUUUUCUGUGUUGUUUACUUUUAUACAAACACCACAUUGAUCAAUACAUAUUUUUUUGUAAGCAUUUUUUUUUCUCUUGCACAAAGUGAAGACUUCAAAUGAAUCUUGUUUGUAUGAGAGCACAUUGCUUUGGUAGAUUGUAACUGUGUUGUAUAGCUGUGAAACAAGUGAAUUAAUAUAACCAGUUGAUGUGAAGAUUUGUUAACAUUGAUAUCUUUCAAAUCAAUAAAACUGUAAUAUUUAGAACUAA